GCUCCAGACUCCUACGGGAGGCAGCAGUGAGGAAUAUUGGUCAAUGGGCGGGAGCCUGAACCAGCCAAGUCGCGUGAAGGAAGAAGGUACUUAGUAUUGUAAACUUCUUUUGUCGGGGAACAAAGGCGGAGACGCGUCUCCGGAUGAGUGUACCCGAAGAAAAAGCAUCGGCUAACUCCGUGCCAGCAGCCGCGGUAAUACGUAGGUGGCAAGCGUUAUCCGGAUUUACUGGGUGUAAAGGGCGUGUAGGCGGGAAGGCAAGUCAGAUGUGAAAUCUGGAGGCUCAACCUCCAAAUUGCAUUUGAAACUGUUUUUCUUGAGUACUGGAGAGGCAGACGGAAUUCCUUGUGUAGCGGUGAAAUGCGUAGAUAUAAGGAGGAACACCAGUGGCGAAGGCGGUCUGCUGGACAGCAACUGACGGUGAGGCGCGAAAGCGUGGGGAGCAAACAGGAUUAGAUACCCCAGUAA
rnacentral:rRNA from 1 species